GAAGUGGGCCGGACCGCCGCUGGUGACGGCCUCCUCACAGAGGUACAACGAGAGGAAAGUCCGGGCUUCACAGGGCGGAGUGCCGGGUAAUCCCCGGCGGGGGUGACCCCAGGGAAAGUGCCACAGAAAGCAAACCGCCGACCAGGUUGUUGUUAAACCGUCGGUAAGGGUGAAAGGGUGCGGUAAGAGCGCACCGCACCACCGGUAACGGUGGUGGCAAGGUAAACCCCACUCGGAGCAAGAUCAAAUAGGGGGACGUUACGGGUGGCCCGCCCAGUCCCCGGGUUGAUCGCUGGAAUGACGUGGUAACUCGUCAUCUAGAGGAAUGGCGGUCACUCCAUCCCGUCUGUGGGAGACGGUCUGGAGGACAGAACCCGGCUUACAGGCCCGCUUCGACC
rnacentral:RNase_P_RNA from 1 species